AAAAGGACAGAUAAAUGAGAGAGGCAAGAGCUGCAACAUGAUUACGCACAAACUGAAGUUUUGCAUUUCCUCUAGUCUGGAAUAGUAAUCAGGUAUCUACUCAACCUAACUAACUAUUACAAUUCAUACAAUACUAAAUGUGACAUACUACAUACUCUUUCGUGCUCAGCAACAGUAGUUGAGAAACAUUUUCCCACAAAAUGGGUCACAAACACAUCUAUUAUUCUAACAAGGAAGUAGAGAAGUUGAGCAAUACUGAAGUCAACCAACAAGACAAGAACAGCUUCCAAUUUUAGGUUUUUUUUUCUUAAUAUUUGUUUUUCUGACAAAUCCAUAUGAUGUAUGCCAAUCUUCUCGAUCGCUGUGGAGGAAUGCUCAGAAACCUUCUGGCAAAAGGUAAACUUUCCAGAUCAGUUAGAUGUAAAACCCCAAUUGAUGCAGAUAAAGCUCAUCGAACCAACAUCUUCAAUCUUUCAGAUAUCCUCGAAGCCUCCAAGCCAAGUCUGGAGCUGACUGCCUGCAAUAACACGUUGGCCAAAGGUUAGAUAAGAGGUCCCUCAUGAAUCGGUCAUAAAUCAAGGAAAAAAUUAUGGCUGUCUUCUCUGCUCCACUUAACCGAACUAUGCCCAAGUUAGAAGUGUUCUUCCCUUGAAGUUCCGAUUUUGUUACAAGAACCAUGCGACGAUUUAAUCUACUUUUUUUUUGCUUCUCAUGCACAUGUUUUAGCAAAUCUUCACCCUUAAUUUUGUCAAAUAGAAUUUCCUAUUUCUUCUGAGAAAUCCCUUGUUUUAUUCAUUAAAUCUUUGCUUCAAGAAAAAGCCACUCUUGGUAUAGAUUAAUUCAUUAUCACAUUAUCAUGGGGUAUUAGGAUUUAUCUGGUCUUAAAUGCUUGAAAACACACACACAGGCACAUGGAUUCAACUGGCUUUGACAUGCAUAUUGGCCGGCGCGAGUCCAUAUACUUGGGAUUAUUGAUGGGAGGGGACGCUUAGAGCCACAUUCACGAUGUGUAAAUGCAUACUCUGUAUCUGCUGAUACUCGACGUUACACAGGAGAUAUGAAAAGACGGUGAAAGGAAAGUUGCUGUUUUCACAUGCACAUCAUAACCUAGGACAUGUGGCGCCUCGUGACUGGGAAGAAGGCGAAUACAUUUGCAACGGGGCCAUAUCUCGAUCCUACCCUGUUCAGAUAACAAACAGAGGAGGGAAUGAAAAAUAUCGGGAGAGAGAAAGAAGACAGACCAGUGUGGUGUGAUCGAACGCAUCGCUGUCGAUAUUUUCUUUCACGGAAAACAAAAUAAAGCUACGCAACAACAAGUUGAGGAACCCAGAAAUAAAAAAAUGGACAUCUUUCUGAUGAUCACAAAACGAUACAUUACUCGAUGCAGCUCAAGUUUAUCACGUGCAUAAAUUAUGACGACGAAAUAAAGAAAGCUGACUCCUGAAGCUGACAUCACAUCGCUACAUAUAUAAACACAGAAAACCUGGACUUGCGUUCUUGUUGACAUGCACCACAUCUCACCAAAGUCAGCAAUCCAUACCAUUCAUUCUCUUGUUAAAUUAUUUUAUUACCCGAUGAUAAGUUAUAUUUUAGGUCCAAAACAUAGACACAUUUGUUCACCAACAAGGUUGUGAGCACGUUGUAAGGUACCAACGAAAGUUGAUAUUGAUAAUAUCGAAGUGAGAACAAAAGCAUUCUGGUUUCAGACAAUGUUUUUAAUGAAAAAGACAAUAUCAAAUGAGACACUCUAAAUCAAUGACCAUCUAGAGAAGUCAACAAAAUGCACAAGAGAUCAGAAACGACGGAUCACCUGUUGUCUCAGGAAAGUGUGUAAAAGGUGCUCGUUUCAACAGAACACAACAAAUACAGAGUAAGACAUUUACGACUAUUUUUCUAGUUUAUACGACGCUGUAGUAGUGUGUGAUUGUCAAACCAGGAAUCCUAAUUAAUAGAAGCAUCAAGCAACUGGGAAAAGAAACAGUGAUGUCUAUAUCACUCCCAGAAAAGAAAACAAACAUUCAUCUCCAACACACUAUUAAUGCAAAACCAAAAAGUAAGCCAUUGCUCCCCACCCACAGUCCAAAAUAAAUACCACAGCGAAUCAUCUUGCUGCUCCACAAGGUGGGAGCAUACUGAUCGAGGAACCAUCAAUUGAAAAUGCAUUAUUAAGUAACUUCCAAAUCAGAAAUACCGAUCGAGAGUUUGUCAAUAUAUUGUUUUUUUUUUAAAGAAAAUUGAUCCCAGCAUAACAUCGACAACUUAUCACGAAGAGUUUUUUUUUUUUUACAGGAAUUUUUUCUUUUAAUUUUUAAACAUUUUUAUUCACGAAGAGUAAUCUGAUAGAAGAGAAGAUCAUAAUAGAAAAUCAUGAUAGAAUAACAUCCCUAUUUCUUAUUAUCUUUAAUCAAUCAUGGAUUUAAAUAAUACAUAAUUGAGAAAAUUCUAUACCUCAAUGAAUAAAAUUCAUCCCUUUUCACAACCUAUUUCUUAUUUCUAAUGGUUUCCCUUCCACAAUCUAUUUCGGAUUUGAGUCUCUUCCUCAAAACAUGCACAAUAAAUAAAAUCCCAACCCUUUCCCAACCUAUUUCUUAUUUCUACACUAUCGGAUCAGUUGCAAAUGUCAUAUCCAUCAAAUUCCUGAGACAGCAAUGUGUUGCUAGCUGCUGUCAAACUAAUCGACAAAGAAAUGCUGUUUAACAUGACUCAUCGAUGAUGCUAACCUAGCAUUCCGAAGAUGGCAGUGAGAUUUUCUCAUGAAGAAAUUACCUGUGUCGAUGGCCUAUUAAGAAAUUUGUCCUUUCAUGUUGUUAGACUAUCUUAUGGUAAUUGCAGAUCGACACUGUACAAUGCUCGAGAUGAGCAACAAGAUGAGCAGCGGUCAAACUGACCAUGUGAGCAGUAGCACUGUGAAAUGGCAUCCGAGACUACGAAGAAGAAGAAGAAGAAGAAGAAGAAGAAGAAGAGGGAAACCUAAGAAUGCCGACGACGCGGACCCGAAGCGCCGUGGAUCGCCUCACGAGACUGGUUCGAGCGCCGCCAUCGCUAUUCGCUGCGCCCCCAAAAACGUCUUCCGAGUUCUAAUGCC
rnacentral:lncRNA from 1 species